AGAGCAGGUCGGGCGGUCGCUGCUGCGUCUGUGAAGACGUGGCAGAGGAAAGUCCGAACACCGUAGGGCAGCGAGCCCGCUAACGGCGGGGCGUCUGAUGGACGGAGAACUGUCUCGACAGUUUUUCUGACUUCAGGCGACGACAAGUGCAACAGAAAACAAACCAGCCGCCCGCGCCCUGAGCGUGAAGCGGUGAUGGGUGAAAUGGUGCGGCCCCGUUGGGGGCUUAAAGUAAGAGCGCACCGGCGCGUGUGGCAACACACGCGGCCAGGCAAACUCCUCGCGGUGCAAGACCAAAUAGGGAGGCGUCACACAGGGCUGCCCGCCCGAAGCGCGUCGCAAGACGCGCCACGACCUCCGGGUAGGUCGCUCGAUCCAAUUGGCAACAAUUGGGCUAGAUGAAUGAUCGCCACUUCGGCCCACACGGGCGGAAGCACAGAAUUCGGCUUACAGACCUGCUCUCAAU
rnacentral:RNase_P_RNA from 1 species